UCCGAGGGGGGCAAGCGUUGUCCGUCCUUCUUUUUCUUAAAGAGCUCGUAGGCGGUCUGUCGCGUCGGCUGUGAAAACUCGGGGCUCAACCCCGAGCCUGCAGUCGAUACGGGCAGACUAGAGUCCGGCAGGGGAGACUGGAAUUCCUGGUGUAGCGGUGAAAUGCGCAGAUAUCAGGAGGAACACCGGUGGCGAAGGCGGGUCUCUGGGCCGGAACUGACGCUGAGGAGCGAAAGCGUGGGGAGCGAACAGG
rnacentral:rRNA from 1 species